UAGUCAAUGCUCGAAAGAGUGAACUAGCUAACUGAAAUCAAUAAUAAUAAUUGAUAACAUAAGGGAAAAUAAUGAUAUUACCUUAUUAUUAGUGUCGUCCAAAACUGGUGCCAGAAGACUCGGUAAGGCCAGAGACACAAACGUUAAUCGUCUUAAUCAGGCGUAAAGGGUUUGUAGGCGGCUUUAAAAUUUACUUAAUAAAAUAAAAAAUAAUAAGUAAAAAAUAAAAGCUAGAAUCAAAUAGAGGAUAUAUGAAAGAAUGCUUAGAGUAGGUCUGAUAUCUUUAGAUACUAAGUAGAAUAUUAAAGGCGAAAGCUUUUUUCCAUUAAUGAUUGACGCUCAGAAACGAAGGUGAGGAUAGGAAAUAGGAUUAGAUACCCAGAAUACCCCUCUCUGUCAACGAUGAAUGGUAGUUAUUAGUAAAAAUAUAUUAAUGACAAUGUUAACACGAUAACCAUUCCGCCUUGUGAGUACAACUGCAAAGUUGAAAACAAAAAAAUUAGUCGGUUUCGGAGCAAACGAAGUGAAGCAUGUUAUUU
rnacentral:rRNA from 1 species